rnacentral:rRNA from 1 species
AACGCGAAGAAAGUUACCUGACUUUAAUAUGUCCGGAACUUUGCAUAGAUGCGAGGGGCGCUUCGGGAUUCGGAACACAGGUGCUCCAUGGCCGUUGUCAGCUCGUGUCGUGAGAUGUUGGGUUAAGUCCCGUAACGAGCGCACACCUUUUCCUUAGUUACCAGCUCGUUAUGGUGGGCACUCUAAGGUGACUGCCGGUGACAAUCCGGAGGAAGGUGGGGAUGACGUCAAGUCUUCACGGCCCUUACGGCCAGGGCUACACCCUUGCUACAAUGGUCGGUACAGAGGGUUUUCAACCCGCGAGGGGGAGCUAAUCACAAAAAACCGAUCGUAGUCCGGAUCGCAGUCGCCAACUCGGCUGCGUGAAGUCGGAAUCGCUAGUAAUCGGAAUCAGAAUUACACGG